rnacentral:tRNA from 1 species
GUCUUCUUGGCUCAGUUGGCAGAGCGUCUGCCUAGUAAACAGAAGGUCGUCGGUUCGAUUUCGACAGAAGGCA